GGGACAGGACGGACCUGGCACACAGCGCUGCUCCUUUGCCACCGUAUGGUGAUGGGCCACGAGGGCAGAAGUCACCGAGACCGAUGGUGGCUCCCUGGGAACCGCAGUAAUCUCAUUCCGGGAGCAAAUCACAUUCCCAGCAGCCAAGGACAUGUUAGGUCUUAAUAAAAAUGGUAAUUCCCGGCAGAUUGAUUUGGGAGCAGGGAGAGUGCUGCUUGCUUCCCAUCGCUGCUGCCCGGGGCUUGGAGGUGGUGCUGGGGGUGAUGGGCAGCAGCGUGGCACAGCGCUGGGUUUUGGGGUUAUCCAGCAUGGGCUGGGGGUUGGUACUGCUGUUACAGAGCUCCCACUCCUCUCAUCCUGCAGGACCCGGCUGCUGUGCCCUGUCUCGAUGUGCACCCGAACGGCCCCAGGGGUCAGAGCUGUUUGUUUGCAGUUUCCUAGGAGAGAAAUCACGUUUAGGAAAAAAAAAAAAAAAAAAGUAGAAAUUAAUCACACACCUGAAAACAAAAUCUGCCUGCUCAAGUGCACAUCGGGGAUAAAUGGUGUGCUCCAAAUUAGACAAUUUACAGCUUGGCUGCUCACUCAGAGCCCCACAUUGCCUCGGCUCAGCUGAUCGGGGUGACUCCUUCCCUGGGGCUUCCAGCAGGGAUCUGGGAAUCACUGAGAACGUGGGAUUCCUCUUCCUGCACUUUGAUCUCUCCAAUUUUCAGCUCAUUCUGGCUGCCUUAUAGGCACUAAUCCCUCUGCAGGCAUCGGAGAGAAUCCACCUACACUUCAUGCAGCAAUCACUUAAGUCUUAUUGUGUAAAUAAAAUCUCAAACACGAAAU
rnacentral:lncRNA from 1 species